rnacentral:rRNA from 1 species
UAGGGAAUCUUCCACAAUGGACGCAAGUCUGAUGGAGCAACGCCGCGUGAGUGAAGAAGGUUUUCGGAUCGUAAAGCUCUGUUGUUGGUGAAGAAGGAUAGAGGUAGUAACUGGCCUUUAUUUGACGGUAAUCAACCAGAAAGUCACGGCUAACUACGUGCCAGCAGCCGCGGUAAUACGUAGGUGGCAAGCGUUGUCCGGAUUUAUUGGGCGUAAAGCGAGCGCAGGCGGAAGAAUAAGUCUGAUGUGAAAGCCCUCGGCUUAACCGAGGAACUGCAUCGGAAACUGUUUUUCUUGAGUGCAGAAGGGGAGAGUGGAAGUCCAUGUGUAGCGGUGGAAUGCGUAGAUAUAUGGAAGAACACCAGUGGCGAAGGCGGCUCUCUGGUCUGCAACUGACGCUGAGGCUCGAAAGCAUGGGUAGCGAACAAG